rnacentral:rRNA from 1 species
CCUACGGGUGGCAGCAGUGGGGAAUAUUGGGCAAUGGAGGCAACUCUGACCCAGCAACGCCGCGUGAAUGAUGAAGGUCUUCGGAUUGUAACUUUCUUUUCUAAGGGAAGAAGAAAGUGACGGUACCUUAUGAAUAAGGAUCGGCUAACUACGUGCCAGCAGCCGCGGUCAUACGUAGGAUCCGAGCAUUAUCCGGAGUGACUGGGUGUAAAGAGUUGCGUAGGUGGCAUAAUAAGUAGCUAGUGAAAUCUGGUGGCUCAACCAUUCAGACUAUUAGCUAAACUGUUAAGCUCGAGACCGUUAGGGGUAACUGGAAUUUCUAGUGUAGGAGUGAAAUCCGUAGAUAUUAGAAGGAACACCAAUAGCGUAGGCAGGUUACUGGGACGGUUCUGACACUAAGGCACGAAAGCGUAGGGAGCAAACGGGAUUAGAUACCCCAGUAGUC